rnacentral:rRNA from 1 species
GUACACGCUGUGACUAGCAUAUCAAUAAGCGGAGGAAAAGAAACUAACAAGGAUUCCCUUAGUAACGGCGAGUGAAGCGGGAAGAGCUCAAAUUUGAAAUCUUAAAGGGUUUCCCUUUACGAAUUGUAGUUUAAAGAAGUGUUUUCUGUUACGAUCAUAAUAUAAGUUCUUUGGAAUAGGACAUCAUAGAGGGUGAGAAUCCCGUAUAUGAUUAUGAUUUUGUAACUUUGUGAUACACUUUCAAAGAGUCGGAUUGUUUGGGAAUGCAGUCCAAAAUGGGUGGUAAUUUCAUCUAAAGCUAAAUAUUGGCGAGAGACCGAUAGCGAACAAGUACCGUGAGGGAAAGAUGAAAAGAACUUUGAAAAGAGAGUUAAACAGUACCGUGAAAUUGUCAAAAGGGAAGCGUUUGACACCAGUGUUGUUUUUCUGAAAAUCAAUUAAAGAACUGUUUAUGCUAAGUUGUUUAGACUUUAUCAGCUAUCUGUUUAGUUUUGAGCUUUUCUUUAAUGCACUUUUCAGUUAACAAGUCAACAUCAAUUUCUUUUGCUGUAAAAAAGCUUGAGGAAGGUGGCUUGAGAUUCGUCUUAAGUGUUUAUAGCCUCUUGCCUAUGCAGUCGGAGAGAUUGAGGUCUGCAGCGUAGAUCCUUCGGGGCUAAAUGCAUUUGUGCUAAGUUAUAGCAUUUUAUAGACAACUUGUUGACUAUGAUUUGUCUUGUAGCUUACUCGCUUAUGUUAUUUUACCUACGCUUAGGAUGUUGAGCGCAUGUCUCUCUCU